ACCCCCGGAGGGUAGCGGCCAGGAAGGAGGGCUGGGGUUGGGACCGCUGCAGCGGUGGCGGACGCCGCGGGCCCCUCCCCCACGCUCCCUCGCUGCCUCCCCCUGCUCCCCGCCCCUCCUCCUCUCCAUCCUCCCCAUCUUCCUCCUAGUCCCCGGCAGCCGCAGCUAGGGGAGCAGCCGGCGGCACCCGGGCCGCUCAGCCUUUGUCUCGGGGCGCACCCCGGCCGCUCAACGCAGCAGGCCACGCGGGGACGGCGGAGGCUGCGAGGACCUGCAGUCAUGGAAAAACGGGAGAGGAGCCGGCCCAGCGUCACCACCGCCACUGUCACCAACCACCAUCACCAUCACCACCACCAUCACUGACCGUCGCCCAUCCCACUACCCCACCUCAUCCCCCAUCUCAUCUCCUCGUGUACUGCCAACUUUUGUCAGACCAUUUCCUUUACAUCGGGUAACACUUAGAUCGCGAGUGAGUGCAGCUACUGCGGGACGUUCAUCUAACAGGCCACUGAGCUGCCUCAGUUUUCCUCUUCAGAGAAAGGGGCCUACGACGCCUCCCCCAUAUAGCCACUGAGGUGGGCCAGGUGUCUGGCUGUUUAAUCUGCGUGCUAGAAGGGACAGAGAGACAUGUCACUUGUUAAUGAUGAAAGUGAUAUCAAAAAGUAAUGUCUUCAUCAGACCAGAGGUUCGCAGUUUAAGAGUUCAGCUCUUUUAAGUGUCGAAGUAUUCAUAGCAAAUGGAAACGUAAAGAAUCGAAACUUUGACCGAACUAUUCCGAAAAAGAAGCAGAAGCAAGUAAUUUGUAGGAAAAUCACUUCGGCUUGUUAAGGGCAGUUCAUGUUGCUUAGAAUGGACAGCGUCCUUUUUUUGCGCUGAGUUUCUGAUGAAGCUCAUUAUUUUAGGGGCAUACCGUAUACCCCCAGUGCUUUCCACCACACCUGAUGAGCGUCUUAAUUCCUGGGUUUCAAAACAGCCUUUUGCCAACUCAGCCCAGAACACUGAGAAUAAACACAUUCCUAGACACAUUCCUAAGUUCCACGCAUCUGCCUUCUGAAAGGACCCAGUAAGAUCCUAAGCCCAUUCUUUAUUUCCCUGUUGUUCCUGGAAAAUUGGGGUAGCCUCACCUGGGUUGCCAAAUGUUUCCGGGAAGGCAGUAGAGAUUCCUUUUAAGGAUUCUUAGUCAUUAAUAAAGGAAUUUAAGAAUGGACUCA